AUAAAUGUUACAAGUUAAUGCUUUAUGUUCCUCAGCUCAGUCUCUUUCAGCUUAGAAGCAUCAAGAUGAUCUCACAAAUCCAACUUCUCUGCCUCUCUGUGCUCUGGAUUCAGGGAUCCAGAGGGGACAUCCUUGUGACUCAGACUCCAGAAUUCCUCUCAGUGUCACUAGGAGACACCGUCACUAUCAACUGCAAAGCCAGUUCCACUGCUAGCAGCUACAUGGCUUUGUACCAGCAGAAACUAGGACAAGCUCCUAAACUUCUCAUCUACAGCACUAACUCUCGUCCCUCUGGGAUCCCAGACCGGUUCAGCGGCAGUGGGUCUGGCACUGACUUCACUUUUAAAAUCAGCCGGGUAGAAGCAGAUGAUGCUGGAGAUUAUUACUGUCAGCAGCAUUAUACCACCCCUCUCACACAGUGAUACAGGCCAUCACAAAAACCUCCCUGCUCUCUUCAGCCUCCUCUCACUGUAGUGAGUGGCUACUUAAUGCUUAGCACUACAGUGGCACAGCUGCAGCAUUUCUAGUGAAGACACAGCCCGAGUUUCUGCAGUUUCUGUUCCUCUGAUGUUCCAGCUGCAUCCUGCACAUCACAGUAUCUGUGCACCUAACGCUGUCCACGUGGGUGGUUCGGUUGAGUUAACUAUGUCUCUCUGGGAUGUGGAUUGUUCACACCCCUGAGGGACGUAGCUAUGCUGAUGUAACUUUACAGCACAGACCAGUCCUGUGGAACUGCUGCCCCCUACAGGGCAGAUUCGGCUCUCUCACUUCUCGCUCACCCUCACUCCUCCAACCAAUUCUUUCCUGUCAUUCCUUGACCCCCUCACCAUUCAAUAGCCCUUGGGCUGGAAUUUGUGUUACUCCUGACAUUAUACUGUAAUGUGAUCACUCAGCCACUUUUGAAUGUGUCCUUGAGUUUGAGAACCUUACCAAGUGGCACAGUUAAUUUCUCUUUUCCCUCUGUUGUUCUCUAACUUUUCUACAGUUGGAGACAUUCUGAAAAAUGAGUGUGUGGCCAAAGGAAAAUAGAGUAACUCCUCACUUAACGUCGUCCUGGUUAACAUUGUUACGUUGCUGAUCAGUUUGAGAACUUGCUCGUUUAAAGUUGCACAAUUGCUUCCUUACACCAUUCUUUGGUGGCCGCUUGCUUUGUCCACAGCUUGCAGAAAGAGCAGCCCGUUAGAGCUAGCUGGUGGGCAUUUGGAACUAGGGUGACCGGCAGCCCCUUAUCAGCUCCACUAAGUUCCCUGUGUGGCAGCCAUCUAGCAGGCUAUCAAUUGCCGGGCAGUUCAGCUGCCCUGCCCCCACCGCCAUGUGCUGCUCCUGCCCUCUGCCUUGGAGCUGCUCGCAGGAGCCUCCUGCUUGCUGUGCGAGGGCGGGGGAAGGGGGGUGUUAACCCCUGAGGGCUCAGCCGCAUGCUAGUUCAUCAUUUCGCAGAAAGGCAUUCCCUGGGAAAUAUCCCACCCUCUGACUCCACCACCUCAA